rnacentral:rRNA from 1 species
UACAGAGGUCUCAAGCGUUGUUCGGAUUCAUUGGGCGUAAAGGGUGUGUAGGUGGCGCCGUAAGUCGGGUGUGAAAUUUCGGAGCUUAACUCCGAAACUGCAUUCGAUACUGCGGUGCUUGAGGACUGGAGAGGAGACUGGAAUUCAUGGUGUAGCAGUGAAAUGCGUAGAGAUCAUGAGGAAGACCAGUGGCGAAGGCGGGUCUCUGGGCCUUACCUGACGCUGAGGAGCGAAAGCGUGGGGAGCGAACAGG